UACGUAGGGUGCGAGCGUUGUCCGGAAUUACUGGGCGUAAAGAGCUCGUAGGCGGUUUGUCGCGUCGUCUGUGAAAACCAGCAGCUCAACUGCUGGCUUGCAGGCGAUGCGGGCAGACUUGAGUACUGCAGGGGAGACUGGAAUUCCUGGUGUAGCGGUGAAAAUGCGCAGAUAUCAGGAAGAACACCGGUGGCGAAGGCGGGUCUCUGGGCAGUAACUGACGCUGAGGAGCGAAAGCGUGGGGAGCGAACAGG
rnacentral:rRNA from 1 species